UACAUGGAGUCCAAACGUUAUCCGGAUUUACUGGGCGUAAAGCGUUCGUAGGCGUCUGACCAAGUCUUCGGUGAAAUCUCCGGGCUUAACUCGGAAACUGUCGAGGAAACUGGUCGGAUUGAGUGUGACAGAGGCAGAUGGAAUUCUUGGUGUAGAGGUAAAAUUCGUUGAUAUCAAGAAGAACACCAGUGGCGAAGGCGAUCUGCUGGGUCAUCACUGACGCUGAGGAAAGAAAGCGUGGGUAGCGAACAGG
rnacentral:rRNA from 1 species